rnacentral:lncRNA from 1 species
CGGCCGCCCCGGAACCCGCGCAGCCCCGGCCGGACGCGGGCGGCGACUUCUACCUGCGCUGUCUCGGCAAGAACGGCGUGUUCGUGGACGGGGUGUUCCAGCGGCGGGGGGCGCCGCCGCUGCAGCUGCCGCGCGUUGCUGCAAACUCCUGCCCAUCCAGCCCCCGGGGAGCAGGGUCUUCAGGGUACAAAAUGGGCCGUGUGAUACCAUCUGACCUCAAUUUAAUGGCUGACAAUUCACAGCCAGAAAAUGAAAAGGAAGCUUCAGGUGGAGAUAGCCCAAAGGUAAGUGCUUUGUAGUUCUGGAUCUGGGGAACAUUACACAGUUAUUGGUAACAAGUCCAAGGGUUUGUCUGUCUUGCCUUUCCAUGUAAUAGUCCACCAUUGAGAAAAGUUGGGGCAAGGAUCUGGAAGCAGGAAAGGAAGCAGACACCAUGGAGAGGGGUGCUGCUUGUUUGCUUCCUUCAGUCCAGAGCCACCUGCCCAGGAGUGGCACUGCUCACAGGGGUUGGCCUUUUUCAUGCCAAUAAUUAAUC